UGGCAGUGGUGAGGUGGAGAGUUCAAAAUGUGUGACCAAUAAUCAUUGAAAUUCUUCCUUGAAUUAGUAAGAAGUCUUCAGAAGCAAGCCAUAAGUUUCCAUCCUCUCUCCCCUCCUUCCUUCCACAAACAUUGAACCAACUUGCAUGUGAGUAGGGGUUGGGCUGGGAGGUACCAAAAGCCCACAAAUGAGUGAAGCAUAGCCUUGUUCCCAGAGGACUUUAGAGGGAAAGACGUGCAGAGGAUGUCAACGUCAGACAACACAAAAAGAACAAUUCAGAGAAGGGACAGUUGGAAUCCAGAAGAGAGGUGUCAAGUUUUCGAAGGACAAAAAAAAAAAAAGGCUUAUCUUCUUUUGAGGAGUCUGAAGAAAUGUUUACUAUCAAGGAUAGAGCAGCAAGAUCUUGGAUGGAUGCUGGGGAACGGAUGGUGCUUAGGCUUGGCUCCCUUUCCAGGAGUCCCUCUCUAUAUGUUCUGUAUUUAAUAUACAUAAAGACAUUUCUGGAUCUUCUCGUAUGAUAAAGAGGACAUGAUGAGGAGAAACUUGAAAGACGGUUGCAAAGCCACUAUCACACUGAAGACAAGCAGAUGAGUUUCUCAAGAAGCAGCUGGUGCAUGAGUAUGGGAAGAGCCGGUUUGAGGGAUGGAAGAGGAAAGUUUGACCUGACCCAAAGAAGGUCCUAUGAACAGUGAGGUCAGGGGAGGUUUCCUGUUGGACUGCACACAGGAGUAUGAUCUGGAAAAAGCCAACAAAAUAACCUCUGUUCUCUGACUGAAGCAAGAACUCUAAUCCCUACCCAGAUAAGAGCUAGGAAUAAAAUGUCUGUGCUAAGAGAGGCUUGAACGGGGGAGCUAUCUACCACAGCUGAACAAGGUCAAGUAUCCAUCUGUAACUUGAAGAGGCCAGAAUGGAGUUCCUGUUCAGGGCACCUCCCCACACAAGUGAAGCUUGAGGAAGACAGAAACUUUCUUCUUGUAAUCCCAGUACUUAGCACUGAGUAAGCUAUUCAAUAUAGCUGAACAAGCAUGGCCUGUAGGGAAUACAGCUUGAUGUUUCACUACUGAGACACCAAUCCUCCCCCAACUUUUCCGGGGUAUUCUUAAUUUCUGAUUCAUGGCCAACCAGUGGGCCAUGACAAGAAAAUGUACUUGCUCUACGGAUGUGAAGAACUGUGGAGUGUUAUCAUCAAUGAGAUGGACACACAGGGUCUCAAGAGAUGACAUGUGAGAAGACCAGGAAUCUCUUGUGCAUGUGCACACACACACAAGACACACACAAUCUCUCAGCUCCUCUUUUAGGACAUAGUUUCAUUUGGGGUUUUUUGUCUUGUUUUGUUUUGUAGCUUGGCGACAUCUGGCAGCAUUCAGUCUCUCUCGUUCAAACUAAUGCAUAAAAAACUAAGGUGACCUGGUGUUACUAAAUCGUCACCAGCUGUGUCUAGCUUUAAAAAUCUGUUAUUAAUACCAGAGCUGGAUGUUACAUAUUAGCCAAACACUGCUUAUUAAUCAUUCACAGGUAUGUGGUGGUGGUAGAGUUAAGCUUCCAAAGACAAUGCCCUGGCAGCUAAGGAUUUAUGGGUUUUCCUAAAGAGAACAACAAUAGGAUGGGAGAAGGACCAGUAGGACCCCAACCCUGAAUAUGAACCUUCGCCUAAUCCACUGUUCUGUUUAAAUUGCUCUUUAAGCUGCUUAGAGAAAAGGAGUGGCACUACCUGUGAGGAUGGGAAGCAGUUACUGUCGGAAGAAAUCCAGAACCUCCAAAAGUGAGGCUAGGGCAGUUCUCCCAUUUUCUCCUUCAGCUGAGUGCCAACAGCUUGUGGGUGCUCAUCUGCAGAGUCUCUCUCCUGUCCCCGGAGCUCAGCAGUUUUAGGAUUCAGCUCUCUGGAGGUGUCCUCUCUAAUCCUAUAGAGUGUGGUGCCCCGGUGAGCCCUUCUGCCAAAGGGCAUAGGAGCAAAACUGCAGGCCAGCAAACCCUGGUCCCCUCCCCUUCUUUCCCUCCCCCAUUCCAGAGUGUGAUGGCAGAGACUAAGGCCAGGGUCCCUCAUGGUCCUGUUACCACUAAACUGGGAAUGACCACCUGCUGGGAAACCUUGGUAGAAGCUGGGGGUUCAGUUGUUGGAGAUUAUCUCCCCUGAAGCAUGUUCUGAGGUUAUACCGGGUUUGAGGGUUCGCCAGAGACAAAAAGGAUUCUGGUUGAGAUGGGAGGAAUAGCCCAGAGCUUUGGGGCACCCGUGUGCAUGUGUGUGCAUGCACACACCCCAUGUAUUAUACCAUGUAUGCAUGUGAAUGUGCAAUUGUGAAGUGUUCGCACUCAUGGAACCAGCUCCUCUGACCAAACUAUACUUGUGCUCUCUUUCUUGGAUGACAGUAAAAAUGUAUGAUCAUUUGUAGGGGGAAAAAAUCCGAAAACACAGCAAAGCACAAAGAAGAAAAUAAUCCCAUCACCAAAAAAAACCACUUAAGCAUUUUGUAUCUGGCACUCCCAUCUUUUCACUUGGCAUAUUGAGAGUUCUUUAUUCUGUUUUUCAAAAUCGG
rnacentral:lncRNA from 1 species